CAUGUCUUUUUGAUUAUUAUUUAAAGUCUGACCUGCCCUAUGAUUAGUUAAAUGGCUGCGGUACUUUGACCGUGCAAAGGUAGCAUAAUAAUUAGUUUCUUAAUUGGGAACUGGAAUGAAUGGUUGGACGAGAAAAGAACUGUCUCGAUUUAAUUUAAAUUAGAAAUUUAUUUUUAAGUAAAAAAGCUUAAAUAAAUUUAAAAGACGAGAAGACCCUAUAGAAUUUUAUAUAAAUAAAUAUCUUUGAAAGUUAAAGAAUUUUAAAUUUAAUUAUAUUGAUUUAUAUUUGGUUGGGGCAAUCGAGAAAUUUAAUAAAUUUUUUCUAUUUAUUAACAUUAAUUUAUGAUUAAUUGAUCCAUAAAAUUAUGAUUAAAAGAUUAAAUUACCUUAGGGAUAACAGCGUAAUUUUUUUUUAGAGUUCUUAUCGAAAAAAAAGUUUGCGACC
rnacentral:rRNA from 1 species